UACGAAGGGGGCUAGCGUUGCUCGGAAUCACUGGGCGUAAAGCGCACGUAGGCGGCUCUUUAAGUCAGAGGUGAAAUCCUGGGGCUCAACCCCAGAACUGCCUUUGAUACUGAGGAGCUUGAGUCCGGGAGAGGUGAGUGGAACUGCGAGUGUAGAGGUGAAAUUCGUAGAUAUUCGCAAGAACACCAGUGGCGAAGGCGGCUCACUGGCCCGGUACUGACGCUGAGGUGCGAAAGCGUGGGGAGCGAACAGG
rnacentral:rRNA from 1 species